rnacentral:rRNA from 1 species
GGCCUAACACAUGCAAGUCGAGGGGUAGAGGAAGCUUGCUUCCUUGAGACCGGCGCACGGGUGCGUAACGCGUAUGCAAUCUACCUUGUACAGAGGAAUAGCCCAGAGAAAUUUGGAUUAAUGCCUCAUAGUAUAUUGGGUCGGCAUCGACCUAUUAUUAAAGAUUUAUCGGUACAAGAUGAGCAUGCGUCCCAUUAGUUAGUUGGUAAGGUAACGGCUUACCAAGACGAUGAUGGGUAGGGGUCCUGAGAGGGAGAUCCCCCACACUGGUACUGAGACACGGACCAGACUCCUACGGGAGGCAGCAGUGAGGAAUAUUGGGCAAUGGGCGCAAGCCUGACCCAGCCAUGCCGCGUGCAGGAAGACGGUCCUAUGGAUUGUAAACUGCUUUUAUACGGGAAGAAACACCCCCUCGUGAGGGGGCUUGACGGUACCGUAAGAAUAAGGAUCGGCUAACUCCGUGCCAGCAGCCGCGGUAAUACGGAGGAUCCAAGCGUUAUCCGGAAUCAUUGGGUUUAAAGGGUCCGUAGGCGGCCUUAUAAGUCAGUGGUGAAAUCUCCUAGCUCAACUAGGAAACUGCCAUUGAUAUUGUAGGGCUUGAAUUAUUGUGAAGUAACUAGAAUAUGUAGUGUAGCGGUGAAAUGCUUAGAUAUUACAUGGAAUACCAAUUGCGAAGGCAGGUUACUAACAAUAUAUUGACGCUGAUGGACGAAAGCGUGGGUAGCGAACAGGAUUAGAUACCUGGUAGUCCACGCCGUAACGAUGGAUACUAGCUGUUCGGGGCAACCUGAGUGGCUAA